UCUAGAAUGGCAGAUUAAUGCGAUAGGUUUAGGACCUGUUAAUGAGAGUUUUUCUCUUUUAGAA
rnacentral:tRNA from 1 species